GUAAGCAACCCACGGCUUUAAGCCGUGGGCUUCGACCAGACUCGUUCUAGUCGAAGCCUAGCUUACCAGACUAUCAGCCUUAAAUAAGCUGGGUUUACAUUAAGCGUUAAAGUUCUCACCUUGGAAUACGAAGCUAGUUCCAAGCUCUGAAACCGAACAAUUAAACAGACGUAAAGGUUUAAAGUCAGUGUUGUUUGGAGAGUACCGGAUGUAAACAAAGUCAAAGCUAACAUUAC
rfam:Scytonema hofmannii PCC 7110 genomic scaffold Scaffold1, whole genome shotgun sequence.